ACGAGCAAUACCGCGUGAGGGAUGAAGGCCUACGGGCUUGUAAACCUCUUUUCUCAAGGAGGAAGAUCUGACGUUACUUGAGGAAUAAGCAUCGGCCUAACCCUGUGCCAGCAGCCGCGGUAAUACAGGGGAUGCAAGUGUUAUCCGGAAUUAUUGGGCGUAAAGCGUCUGCA
rnacentral:rRNA from 1 species